UAUUGUGCUGUGACGAUACAAUUUGCAAUUUGUGGACUAGAGUUUCUGAUUUGGGAAUCUUCACCCAAAAUUUGAUUAUCAAACCCAUGGCUGUCCGAGCACACUU